rnacentral:rRNA from 1 species
AUUGAACGCUGGCGGCAGGCCUAACACAUGCAAGUCGAACGAGCGGCGGACGGGUGAGUAAUGUCUGGGGAACUGCCCGAUGGAGGGGGAUAACUACUGGAAACGGUAGCUAAUACCGCAUACCAUCGGAUGUACCCAUAUGGGAUUAGCUAGUAGGUGGGGUAACGGCUCACCUAGGCGACGAUCCCUAGCUGGUCUGAGAGGAUGACCAGCCACACUGGAAAUGAGACACGGGCCAGACGCCUACGUGAGGCAGCAGUGGGGAAUAUUGCACAAUGGGCGCAAGCCUGAUGCAGCCAUGCCGCGUGUAUGAAGAAGGCCUUAGGGUUGUAAAGUACUUUCAGCGAGGAGGCGUUACUCGCAGAAGAAGCACCGGCUAACUCCGUGCCAGCAGCCGCGGUAAUUC